UAGGAGGUGCUACAAGAAAAUGAAAUAGGAAUUGCAGAUGGGAAUGAACUUUGGAUGAGAAGUUUGGUAAGGAAAUGGGAAUUUCAUGACUUGAAUGCCAAAAAAAAUAAAGACUUAAAACUUGGGAGUGGUGAUUGAGAUUGAGAUUGAGACUGGAAUUGAGAAGAAAAAACCUUAAGAUCUAAAAAGAGAAAUGCUGGGUGAUGGAGGAUUUUUGUGCCAGUGGUGGUGGUGGGGAAAAGGAGGGGAUGG
rnacentral:misc_RNA from 1 species